rnacentral:rRNA from 1 species
GACGAACGCUGGCGGCGUGCUUAACACAUGCAAGUCGAACGGUGAAGCGCCUUCCUUUUUGGUGGGUGUGGAUGAGUGGCGAACUGGUGAGUAACGCGUGAGUAACCUGCCCCCUUCUUCUGGAUAACCGCAUGAAAGUGUGGCUAAUACGGGAUAUUCUGGGUCUGUCGCAUGAUGGGUCUGGGAAAGAUAUUGUUUCGGUGGGGGAUGGGCUCGCGGCCUAUCAGCUUGUUGGUGGGGUGAUGGCCUACCAAGGCGGUGACGGGUAGCCGGCCUGAGAGGGUGGACGGUCACACUGGGACUGAGACACGGCCCAGACUCCUACGGGAGGCAGCAGUGGGGAAUAUUGCACAAUGGGCGCAAGCCUGAUGCAGCGACGCCGCGUGAGGGAUGGAGGCCUUCGGGUUGUGAACCUCUUUCGCCAGUGAAGCAGGCCUGCCUCGUUUGUGGGUGGGUUGACGGUAGCUGGAUAAGAAGCGCCGGCUAACUACGUG